rnacentral:rRNA from 1 species
UAGGGAAUCUUCCACAAUGGGCGAAAGCCUGAUGGAGCAACGCCGCGUGUGUGAUGAAGGGUUUCGGCUCGUAAACACUGUUGUAAGAGAAGAAUGACAUUGAGAGUAACUGUUCAAUGUGUGACGGUAUCUUACCAGAAGGAACGACUAAAUACGUGCCAG